rnacentral:rRNA from 1 species
GUGGGGAAUCUUGCGCAAUGGGCGAAAGCCUGACGCAGCCAUGCCGCGUGAAUGAUGAAGGUCUUAGGAUUGUAAAAUUCUUUCACCGGGGACGAUAAUGACGGUACCCGGAGAAGAAGCUCCGGCUAACUUCGUGCCAGCAGCCGCGGUAAUACGAAGGGGGCUAGCGUUGCUCGGAAUUACUGGGCGUAAAGGGCGCGUAGGCGGACAGCUUAGUCAGAGGUGAAAGCCCAGGGCUCAACCUUGGGAUUGCCUUUGAUACUGGCUGUGUUGAGGUUGGGAGAGGUGAGUGGAACUCCGGGUGUAGAGGUGAAAUUCGUAGAUAUUCGGAAGGACACCAGUGGCGAAGGCGACUCACUGGCCCAAUACUGACGCUGAGGCGCGAAAGCGUGGGGAGCAAACAGGAUUAGAAACCCGAGUAGUCC